rnacentral:rRNA from 1 species
CGAGCGGACAGAGGUAGCUUUGCUCCCGCUCUUUUUCGGCGGACGGGUGAGUCAUGCUUAAGAAUCUGCCUAUUAUUGGGGGACAACAUUUCGAAAGGAAUGCUAAUACCGCAUACGUCCUACCGGAGAAAGCAGGGGAUCUUCCGACCUUGCGCUAAUACAUGAACCUAACUCGGAUUAACUAGUUGGUGGGGUAAAGGCCUACCAAGGCGACGAUCUGUACCGGGUCUGAGAGGAUGAUCCGCCACACUGGGACUGAGACACGGCCCAGACUCCUACCGGAGGCAGCAGUGGGGAAUAUUGGACAAUGGGCGCAAGCCUGAUCCAGCCAUGCCGCGUGUGUGAAGAAGGCCUUAUGGUUGUAAAGCACUUUAAGCGAGGAGGAGGCUACUUUAGUUAAUACCUAGAGAUAGUGGACGUUACUCGCAGAAUAAGCACCGGCUAACUCUGUGCCAGCAGCCGCGGUAAUACAGAGGGUGCAAGCGUUAAUCGGAUUUACUGGGCGUAAAGCGCGCGUAGGCGGCUAAUUAAGUCAAAUGUGAAAUCCCCGAGCUUAACUUGGGAAUUGCAUUCGAUACUGGUUAGCUAGAGUGUGGGAGAGGAUGGUAGAAUUCCAGGUGUAGCGGUGAAAUGCGUAGAGAUCUGGAGGAAUACCGAUGGCGAAGGCAGCCAUCUGGCCUAACACUGACGCUGAGGUGCGAAAGCAUGGGGAGCAAACAGGAUUAGAUACCCUGGUAGUCCAUGCCGUAAACGAUGUCUACUACCGUUGGGGCCUUUGAGGCUUUAGUGGCGCAGCUAACGCGAUAAGUAGACCGCCUGGGGAGUACGGUCGCAAGACUAAAACUCAAAUGAAUUGACGGGGGCCCGCACAAGCCGGGGGAGCAUGUGGGUUUAUUUCUAUGCAACGCGAAGAACUUUACCUGGGCCUUGACAUAGUAAGAACUUUCCAGAGAUGGGAUUGGUGCCUU